rnacentral:rRNA from 1 species
GGGAAAAGCGGGGCAGGGGGCGGGGGUAAUACAGGGGGUGCAAGCGGUAAUCGGAAGUACUGGGCGGAAGGCGAGCGUAGGUGGUUCAGUAAGGGGGGUGUGAAAUCCCCGGGCUUAACCUGGGAACUGCUUUCACAACUGCGGAGCUAGAGUACGGUAGAGGGUAGUGGAAUUUCCUGUGUAGCGGUGAAAUGCGUAGAUAUAGGAAGGAACACCAGUGGCGAAGGCGACUACCUGGACUGAUACUGACACUGAGGUGCGAAAGCGUGGGGAGCAAACAGGAUUGAUACCCCUGUAGUC